GACGUAGGGGGCCAGCGGUUGUUCGGAAUUACUGGGUGUAAAGGUUCGUAGGCGGUGACGGCAAGUCGGGAGUGAAAUUCUCGGAGCGUUAACUCCGAAACUGCAUUCGAUACUGCCGUGCUUGAGGACUGGAGAGGAGACUGGAAUUUACGGUGUAGCGGUGAAAUGCGUAGAUAUCGUAAGGAAGACCAGUGGCGAAGGCGGGUCUCUGGACAGUUCCUGACGCUGAGGCACGAAGGCCAGGGAGCAAACGGG
rnacentral:rRNA from 1 species